rnacentral:rRNA from 1 species
UACGUAGGGGGCAAGCGUUGUCCGGAAUCAUUGGGCGUAAAGAGCUCGUAGGCGGUUUCGUAAGUCGGGUGUGAAAACUCUAGGCUCAACCUAGAGACGCCACCCGAUACUGCGAUGACUAGAGUCCGGUAGGGGAGUGUGGAAUUCCUGGUGUAGCGGUGAAAUGCGCAGAUAUCAGGAGGAACACCAACGGCGAAGGCAGCACUCUGGGCCGGAACUGACGCUGAGGAGCGAAAGCGUGGGUAGCGAACAGG